rnacentral:snRNA from 2 species
GUCCCUUUGGGGAUAUCUGAUAAAAUUGGAACGAUACAAAGAAGAUUAGUAUGACCCCCCCGCGCAAGAAUGACAUGCACAAAUCGAGAAAUGAUCCAAAUUUUU